ACCUCUAUCAAUUUAAUCUGCAUAUGACUACCUACGAUUCUUCUCGUAGUCUCACCACAAAAAUCAAAAACUCUUUAAAAUGAUAAUUCCCAAUUUUUGUAGUAUACUGAAUUCUAGUGUAUUAUACUGAACUUUUGUCAAAUUGAAUAAAGUGAAGUAUAAAUGAAUGAGACAUGUUUGGAAUUGAGUUCCGAAGGUUCUAGAACGAUUAGAAGCGAGGUAGAACUCGGAGGACCGAAAAUGAGAAUUUUUUAUAAAGAUAUGACUGAAUU
rnacentral:lncRNA from 1 species